rnacentral:rRNA from 1 species
AGAGUUUGAUCCUGGCUCAGAACGAACGCUGGCGGCGUGGAUAAGACAUGCAAGUCGAGCGAGAGAAUUGCUAGCUUGCUAAUAAUUCUCUAGUGGCGCACGGGUGAGUAACACGUGAGUAACCUGCCCCCGAGAGCGGGAUAGCCCUGGGAAACUGGGAUUAAUACCGCAUAGUAUCGAAAGAUUAAAGCAGCAAUGCGCUUGGGGAUGGGCUCGCGGCCUAUUAGUUAGUUGGUGAGGUAACGGCUCACCAAGGCGAUGACGGGUAGCCGGUCUGAGAGGAUGUCCGGCCACACUGGAACUGAGACACGGUCCAGACACCUACGGGUGGCAGCAGUCGAGAAUCAUUCACAAUGGGGGAAACCCUGAUGGUGCGACGCCGCGUGGGGGAAUGAAGGUCUUCGGAUUGUAAACCCCUGUCAUGUGGGAGCAAAUUAAAAAGAUAGUACCACAAGAGGAAGAGACGGCUAACUCUGUGCCAGCAGCCGCGGUAAUACAGAGGUCUCAAGCGUUGUUCGGAAUCACUGGGCGUAAAGCGUGCGUAGGCUGUUUCGUAAGUCGUGUGUGAAAGGCGCGGGCUCAACCCGCGGACGGCACAUGAUACUGCGAGACUAGAGUAAUGGAGGGGGAACCGGAAUUCUCGGUGUAGCAGUGAAAUGCGUAGAUAUCGAGAGGAACACUCGUGGCGAAGGCGGGUUCCUGGACAUUAACUGACGCUGAGGCACGAAGGCCAGGGGAGCGAAAGGGAUUAGAUACCCCUGUAGUCCUGGCAGUAAACGGUGCACGCUUGGUGUGCGGGGAAUCGACCCCCUGCGUGCCGGAGCUAACGCGUUAAGCGUGCCGCCUGGGGAGUACGGUCGCAAGAUUAAAACUCAAAGAAAUUGACGGGGACCCGCACAAGCGGUGGAGUAUGUGGCUUAAUUCGAUGCAACGCGAAGAACCUUACCUGGGCUUGACAUGUAAUGAACAACAUGUGAAAGCAUGCGUCUCUUCGGAGGCGUUACACAGGUGCUGCAUGGCCGUCGUCAGCUCGUGUCGUGAGAUGUUUGGUUAAGUCCAGCAACGAGCGCAACCCCUGUUGCCAGUUACCAGCACGUGAAGGUGGGGACUCUGGCGAGACUGCCCAGAUCAACUGGGAGGAAGGUGGGGACGACGUCAGGUCAGUAUGGCCCUUAUGCCCAGGGCUGCACACGUACUACAAUGCCCAGUACAGAGGGGGCCGAAGCCGCGAGGCGGAGGAAAUCCUAAAAACUGGGCCCAGUUCGGACUGUAGGCUGCAACCCGCCUACACGAAGCCGGAAUCGCUAGUAAUGGCGCAUCAGCUACGGCGCCGUGAAUACGUUCCCGGGUCUUGCACUAACCGCCCGUCA